AUCUGAGCCUGCUUGGGCUGCCCAGCCCCCACUGGUUCUGGUCUGCUCAGGUUGUCAUAGUUCCCAUUCAGACUAGCUUGGGCUGCCCAGCCCCGACUGGUUCUGAUCUGCUCAGGUUGUCACAGUCCCCAUUCAGACUAGCUUGGGCUGCCCAGCCCCCACUGGUUCUGAUCUGCUCGGAUUGUCCUAGCCCUCUUUAAGAUUUGCUUGAGCUGCCCAGCCCCCAGUGGAUCUGAGCCUGCUUGGGCUGCCCAGCCCCCACUGGUUCUGGUCUGCUCAGGUUGUCAUAGUUCCCAUUCAGACUAGCUUGGGCUGCCCAGCCCCCACUGGUUCUGAUCUGCUCAGGUUGUCUCAGUCCCCAUUCAGACUAGUUUGGGCUGCCCAGCCCCCACUGGUUCUGAUCUGCUCAGGUUGUCACAGUCUCCAUUCAGACUAGCUUGGGCUGCCCAGCCCCCACUGGUUCUGAUCUGCUCAGGUUGUCACAGUCCCCAUUCUGAUUAGCUUGGGCUGCCCAGCCCCCACUGGUUCUGAUCGGCUCCUGUUGUCCCAGCCCCCUUUAAGAUUUGCUUGAGCUGCCCAGCCCCCAGUGGAUCUGAGCCUGCUUGGGCUGCCCAGCCCCCACUGGUUCUGAUCUGCUCGGAUUGUCCCAGCCCUCUUUAAGAUUUGCUUGGGCUGCCCAGCCCCCACUGGUUCUGAUCUGCUCAGGUUGUCACAGUCCCCAUUCAGACUAGCUUGGGCUGCCCAGCCCCGACUGGUUCUGAUCUGCUCCUGUUGUCCCAACCCUCUUUCUGAUUUGCUUGAGCUGCCCAGCCCCCAGUGGAUCUGAGCCUGCUUGGGCUGCCCAGCCCCCACUGGUUCUGAUCUGCUCGGGUUGUCUCAGUCCCCAUUCAGACUAGCUUGGGCUGCCCAGCCCCCACUGGUUCUGAUCUGCUCAGGUUGUCACAGUCCCCAUUCAGACUAGUUUGGGCUGCCCAGCCCCCAGUGGUUCUGAUCUGCUCGGGUUGUCUCAGUCCCCAUUCAGACUAGUUUGGGCUGCCCAGCCCCCACUGGUUCUGAUCUGCUCGGAUUGUCCUAGCCCUCUUUAAGAUUUGCUUGGGCUGCCCAGCCCCCACUGGUUCUGAUCUGCUCAGGUUGUCACAGUCCCCAUUCUGACUGGCUUGGGCUGCCCAGCCCCCACUGGUUCUGAUCUGCUCAGGUUGUCACAGUCCCCAUUCUGACUGGCUUGGGCUGCCCAGCCCCCACUGGUUCUGAUCUGCUCAGGUUGUCACAGUCCCCAUUCUGACUGGCUUGGGCUGCCCAGCCCCCACUGGUUCUGAUCUGCUCAGGUUGUCACAGUCCCCAUUCUGACUGGUUUGGGCUGCCCAGCCUCCACUGGUUCUGAUCUGCUCAGGUUGUCCCAGCCCCCGUUCUGACUGGCUUGAGCCGCCCAGCCCCCACUGGUUCUGAUCUGCUCCGGUUUUCCCAGCCCUCUUUCUGAUUUGCUUGAGCCGCCCAGCCCCCAGUUGAUUUAAGCCUGCUUGGGCUGCCCAGCCCCCACUGGUUCUGAUCUGCUCCGUUGUCCCAGCCCCCAUUCUGACUUGCUUGAGCCGCCCAGCCCCCACUGGUUCUGAUCUGCUCCGGUUGUCCCAGCCCCUGUUCUGACUUGCUUGAGCCGCCCAGCCCCCACUGGUUCUGAUCUGCUGGGGCUUCCCAACCCCCACUAAGAUACCCAAUAUAAUAAGCUUUCAUCAACUGUGAUGGACUUGGCUCUUUUAAACAGCAUUGUGAGUCAGUGAUUCAAUGAUUCUAAUACACUUGGGAUGGAAAAUGUCAUGCACAUCCAGAGAGAAAACUAUGGAGACUGAAUGUGGAGCAAAGCUUAUAAUUGUUGUUUGCUUGCUUGUUUUUUGUUUUUUUUUUUCCUUCUUGUGGUUUUUUUUCCCGUUCUGAUCUGAUUUUUCUUGUACAGCAUUACAGAUAUGGAAAUGGUUAGAGGAAUUGCCCAUGUUUAACCUAUAUCUAAUUGCAUGAUGUCUUGAGGAGAGGGAGGUGGGCAAGGGAAGGAAAAAAUUUUGGAACACAAGGUUUUGCAAAGGUGAAUGUUGAAAACUAUUUUUGUGUAUAUUUAAAAAAAUAAAAUAAAAUAAAUUGUUGAUAAUCUUGGGGGAA